GGCGAGCGGCAUGGUGUACUGCAGCAAUGGCCGCCGAAACGGAUCAUCAAACGGAUCAUCAUUUUUUCCGGACUGCUCGUAACGAGUGGAGGCUAUAUUUAAGUGCUCUAGGAUGAGGAUACUGGAGAGAUGGUCGUAGAAGGGAUCAUACAUUUACAGUUGGGAAAGGUACAGCCUACCGAUACUGUCAGGACCUCCUUGGUAAGACUGUGAAGAUCCCCUUGCUCUCCUGUGGUGUCAAUCCAUUCCAACUCCAAGGACAUUUUGUUUGUUUGUUAUGGACUACACCAGGAUCAGGAAAAAACAAACACAACACUGUGUGUACAUUGUGUAUACAGAUGAGCUCCCAUGACAGACACAACAACCUUGUAUACUAUAAACAUGUGUACAUAAUGUAAACGUUAUGAAACCGAUACACUAACAUAUAUCAAUGAGGUUUUCUAACAUGCAAGAUGUAUUUUUUUUUCAUAUUUUAAAAUGCAUGCUAUUUUAUUGGGUGGUUGUGCUUGUCUAGUAAAAUGAACACCAAAAGAAGUUCUUAUAGAUGUAAAUAUUACAAGUAUAAUUACUAUAAAACAUAGAUUCAACCAUAGUUUCACUGACCUGGAAUCAUCCAUCAUAUUUCAAGAUAUUUACAUCUUUUAUGCAAAGAGUUUGAGUCUGAUUAUUUCUUCAAUUUCAUCUGCAUGACAGAAAUCGACAGAAAUGUAUACAAUUGUAUUGGCACUUGAUACUUGACUUUUAACAUUGUGUCAACUAUGUGGUGUUGACAAACAUGAACCCUUGAAA